ensembl:lncRNA
GGGCUUGAGGUCGGUACUGACAUAAAACCCACUUUGAACGCAUUAAAACCCAUUUAUCCUGAAGACCCUCAUCUAUUGAGUUGUUUGUAAGGACAUCAGCACCCAUCUUUCAAAUUCAACCUCCAAUCUCCAGGCCAGAACCACCUAUGAUGCUUUAAAGGCUUUAGAUGUCCUUGAGCAAAGCCACCAAGGAGGAAGCAGUAACUGAGGAGGAUUUUUAGGGUGUCCUGAGCUCAGCCACCUUCUGAGGUAUUUGCUUCUCCCUCCAGGAGCCUGUAAUCCCAACCUCAACCCCACACCAGCUGCUGAACCUCUGCAGACAUCAUCAUUCAUUCCUGGGAAAACUAGGACAUACCUCAGCCUAAGCAGAGACAAAUGACCUCCAAGUGCUCCAUGCCUGGCUAGAAGCUGCUGUGCACUGCACUUGCCAGCCAAAUUUUCAAAAGAGCCCAGUUUGCUGACAUAAAUGGGGUUGCUGAUGUGCCGAAGGAGAAGGAAGUGCUGGAGAAUAUAUUCCUCCCUGGGUCCAAGUCUCUCCCAUCUUAUCUUUCCCUUCCAUAUGUUUCCUCUGUAAUGAGAGGAAUUAUUUAUCAUUAAAGUGAUAUAUAAUUUAAAAAUUAAAGUUAAUGAAUGCUUAAAUUAAUUUACUGACAAAAACAAAUGUCUGUCCUUCAGAUCCUAUAAUUUUAAUUGGAGUGGGCUACGGCUUAAUUAACAUGUAUUGAUUGUAGUCCUGAGUGCAUCUAUAGGUGGGUGGACUGUGUUGGGAGAAAUCCUCCUCGGAGAUGAAGAUUUGCUGAUAACAUUCUGAAUAAUUGUCUUGUGAAGAGACAGAAGCCUUUGCUGUUGUCUCUGCAGAAAGCUUUAAACAAAAGGUGCACGAAGAAGACAGAAAAUUGGAGGAGAGUUGGAGCAAAUAAAGAAGUGGAUGCCACUGGAAACUUUUUGGGGGAUAAAAAGACAGUUUUAUAACAUCAAGAAGAAUGGAAAAGCUGCAAGGCAUGCACACUCAAGACGCUGUGCUCCUGGAAAGUUCUGGAUGGGCUCUAGGCAAUGUUUGGUGGCAAAGAAAGAUGAAGGUCUUGGAAAGAAGGGAAAAUAAUCAGCCAAGCCCUCAUCCUCCAAUAUUCUUCUUUCUGUGAGCUGGGAAUGCCAUUGGAGUAUGGGAAGG